UAUCUCUGUAGAGUCUGCAUAUCAAUAAGCGGAGGAAAAGAAACUAACUAGGAUUCCCUUAGUAACGGCGAGUGAAGCGGGAAGGAGCUCAAAUUUGAAAUCUUCAAGGUUCUACCUUGACGAAUUGUAGUUUAAAGAAGUGUUUUCUGUUGGAGUUUUGGUAAAAGUUCUUUGGAAUAGGACAUCAUAGAGGGUGAGAAUCCCGUAUUUGACCAUUAUUUCCAGCUUUGUGAUACACUUUCAAAGAGUCGGAUUGUUUGGGAAUGCAGUCCAAAAUGGGUGGUAAAUUUCAUCUAAAGCUAAAUAUUGGCGAGAGAGCCGAUAGCGAACAAGUACCGUGAGGGAAAGAUGAAAAGAACUUUGAAAAGAGAGUUAAACAGUACGUGAAAUUGUCAAAAGGGAAGCGUUUGACACCAGUGUUGUUUUCUCGAAAAUCAAUUAAAAAAAGUUGGAUUUUGUAUUGUUAAGACCUUAUCAGCUUACUGUACUCUUUUCUUGCUUUUUUUAAUGCACUUUUCGUUUAACAAGUCAACAUCAAUUUCUUUUGUUGUAAAAGAGUCAUUGGAAGGUGGCUUUCACUUUCGGAUGAAAGUGUUUAUAGCCUUUGACUUCUGCAAUCGGAGAGAUUGAGGUCUGCAGCGUAGAUCCUUCGGGGCUAGAUACGUAGAUGCUAAGUUAUAGUUUUUUAUAGACAACUUGUUGACUAUAAUUAAUCAUGUAGCUUACUCGUUUGCGCUAUUUUACCUACGCUUAGGAUGUUGACGAUCAGCUGAGCGCG
rnacentral:rRNA from 1 species